rnacentral:rRNA from 1 species
AUGGCGGCAGCGGCUGGAGAGGCCCCUCGGGCGCUGUCCCAGAAGGAGCAGGACAUACAGAUGAUGCUCGCCGCCGACGUCCACCUCGGCACCAAGAACUGCGACUUCCAGAUGGAGCGCUACGCCUACAAGCGCCGCUCCGACGGCAUCUACAUCAUCAAUCUGGGCAAGACAUGGGAGAAGCUCCAGCUCGCGGCGAGGGUCAUCGUCGCCAUCGAGAACCCCCAGGACAUCAUCGUCCAGUCCGCCCGCCCCUACGGCCAGCGCGCCGUCCUCAAGUUCGCGCAGCACACCGGCGCCAACGCCAUCGCCGGGAGGCACACCCCUGGUACCUUCACCAACCAGAUGCAGACCUCCUUCAGCGAGCCCCGCCUGCUCAUCCUCACCGACCCAAGGACCGACCACCAGCCCAUCAAGGAGUCUGCUCUGGGGAACAUCCCUACCAUUGCCUUCUGUGACACUGACUCUCCCAUGAGAUACGUCGAUAUCGGCAUCCCAGCAAACAACAAGGGGAGGAACAGCAUUGGCUGUCUGUACUGGCUCUUGGCCAGGAUGGUUCUGCAGAUGAGGGGCACUAUCCUGCCAGGGCACAAGUGGGAUGUCAUGGUUGAUCUGUUCUUCUACAGGGACCCUGAGGAAGCCAAGGAGCAGGAGGAUGAAGCUGCUGGAGCCCCAGAGUAUGCUGCCAUCACUGAUUACGGAGCUGCAGCUGGUCAAUGGGGUGGUGACCAGUGGACCUCUGACGCACCUGCUCCCCCGCCUGUUACUGGUGGCGAGUGGCCGAUGGCUGAAGCUCCAGUUGCUGGUGGUGAUGGAUGGGAUGCAGCAGGGGCACCUGUUGCUGUGGAAGGUGCUGUCCCUGCUCCUGUUGUGGCUGCUACUGGCUGGGACGCCGCGGUGCAACCCCCUGCUCAAGGCUGGGAGUAG